CAUUUAACAUUGAUGAGUUUGUGACCGUUGAUGAAGUAGGGGAUGAUGCAGAGGAGACUGUGGUCUUGUAUACCGAGUCUUCAGUCAAGGAUGAGAAGAUUGAGGAUGAACCCCAUUCCCACGACAUAGUCUCUCCUAUUGCUGAGUCAGAUCCAGCUGAUCAAACAAAACAAACUGACAAGAUUGUUGCUUCUAAGAUAGGAAAUCCUGAAGUUAUUGAAUGUGCAGAUAAAAUAGAAGCCAAUAUUGAAGAAACCACAUCAGCUGCAGAAGUUGUUGCAUCUCCAAAGCCAGAAGAGCAAGAGUCUCAGGAACAGAGUGCCGAUGAACCACUGGGAACAGAUAGGAUGGAAACUGCCAUUGAGAACGAGACAACCAAGCCUUGUACUGUAGCAGAAAAUGCUUCAGCAGAGAUGGACAACAAUGUUGAGACCCUUCUAACCAUGAAAGAAGACCCUGACAUUGGGACCUUGGAUGAGUUAGAGCCAAGCGAGUCAGUUACUUCCUCUCCUUCACAGAAGGAACUCUGCCCACCAACGUCUGCAGAAACCUUAGGAAAAUCAGAAGAUGUACAUCCCGAGGAGCCCGAAACCUCUGCCCCAGUGAUGGACAAUAAUGAUGAGGCAACUGAGAUUCCAUCCCAUGAUGCAAUGGUCACUCUUGAUGAGGUCAGUGAGGGUGAGGAAGAUUUUCUCGAUGAAACAAAUGAGGAACAGCAUUCGAAGGCUGAUGAAGUGCCUGAGACACUUGUAACGGUUGAUGAGGUUGGAGAUGAUGAAAUGGGGUGUGAAGAAUACCAGCUGGACAAAGAACUUCAAGGCCUAGUUACACUGGAUGAGAUUGUUGAUGAAGAGGAGGAGUUUUAUUCAUUCAAUCCUGAGACUCUUGUAACCCUGGAUGAGGCCAAGGGUGAUGAUGAGGAGAACGAGGAAGUGGAGCAUAGUGAAGACAAGCCAACUACCCCAAGCACCACAACACCAAUCAUACCAGAAGAGCCUGUGAAAUCACCAAGCCAAGAAGAGGAUGCCUGUGACCUUGAAGAGCUCCGCAAGAUGAACUUUGUAACUGUGGAUGAAGUUGGGGAGGAGGAAGAGGAACAACCGCUCAGCGAAGAUGUCAAAGAGGAGAAGCAAGUUAAAAAGAGAGCUACAAGGGCCAAAAAGAGAACA
ensembl:lncRNA